rnacentral:rRNA from 1 species
GAAGCAUGACCGUAAGGACAUGUGGGCAGUAUGGGAGUGAGAAUGUUGGCAUGAGUAGCGAGAUGUGGGUGAGAAUCCCACAGGCCGUAAACCCAAGGUUUCCAGGGGAAGGUUCGUCCGCCCUGGGGUAGUCGGGACCUAAGCUGAGGCCGAAAGGCGUAGGUGAUGGACAACAGGUUGAUAUUCCUGUACUACCGAUAACCG